rnacentral:rRNA from 1 species
UACGGAGGGGGCUAGCGUUGUUCGGAAUUACUGGGCGUAAAGCGCACGUAGGCGGAUCAGUCAGUUAGAGGUGAAGGCCUAGGGCUCAACCCUGGAACUGCCUUUAAUACUGCUGGUCUGGAGUCCGAGAGAGGUGAGUGGAAUUCCGAGUGUAGAGGUGAAAUUCGUAGAUAUUCGGAGGAACACCAGUGGCGAAGGCGGCUCACUGGCUCGGUACUGACGCUGAGGUGCGAAAGCGUGGGGAGCAAACAGG